GAAUUCUGCAGAAGUGCACCCAACAGCAAACGGUUAGUGGAUGGGCUGGGAGUUUUUCACGGAUCCUUUUGUAUGCCAAAGGAAAACGCAAAGGGUUGUCAACCGAUCUUACAAUAUUACUUGACGAAAUAGCAGCUAACAACAACCUACUUGAAGAUACCAAAGAAGAAUACGCUCUAUUACUACUUCCACUUAUGUUAACGGUUCCUAUGCGAAAUCGGCAACGUGCCUCGGUUGCUGAAGUUUGCAAGCGAUUUAUCCAGCUUCAUCCUUAUGGAACUUCAAUGGACGAAAUUCUUUCUAAAAUCAAAAGUGACAGUAUUAAACAACCAAUAAUUAUUGCAUUGGGUGUAACUGGCAACAUUAGCCAAUCCUUUAUUGUUGUAGAAAA
rnacentral:lncRNA from 1 species